rnacentral:rRNA from 1 species
ACGAACGCUGGCGGCGUGCUUAACACAUGCAAGUCGAACGGAAAGGCCUUUUCGGAGGUACUCGAGUGGCGAACGGGUGAGUAACACGUGGGUGAUCUGCCCUGCACUCUGGGAUAAGCCUGGGAAACUGGGUCUAAUACCGGAUAGGACCGCACUUUAGUGUGUGUGGUGGAAAGUUUUUUCGGUGUAGGAUGAGCCCGCGGCCUAUCAGCUUGUUGGUGGGGUAAUGGCCUACCAAGGCGGCGACGGGUAGCCGGACUGAGAGGUUGGUCGGCCACAUUGGGACUGAGAUUCGGCCCAGACUCCUACGGGAGGCAGCAGUGGGGAAUAUUGCACAAUGGGCGCGAGCCUGAUGCAGCGACGCCGCGUGGGGGAUGACGGCCUUCGGGUUGGAAACUCCUUUCGCCAGGGACGAAGCGUUUUGUGACGGUACCUGGAGAAGAAGCACCGGCUAACUACGUG